CAGCGACGGGUUCUGGUGGUGUAAUAACCGGAUCCGGUACCGCGGCACCGGGCACUGGGACUGGAACGGGAACCGGCACCGGCACUGGCUCGGGAUAUGUGGGAUACAGUGGCGGUUGCGUAUAUAAGGGUCGGUAUUACGGAGCUGGUGACCAUUGGUAUGACGGCUGUGACUACAACUGUACAUGUGAAAACGGACAGACGGGCUUCUACAGGUGUGGAGAUAGGUGUCCCACGUAUAAUUUGGCGGCGGGCUGCGUAUUGAGGACGGUUGCUGAACAGUGUUGCGGUGUACCGGACUGCACGGGAGCCACGGGCACAGGGACAGGCACCAUGACCGG